rnacentral:rRNA from 1 species
GACAGAGGGUGCAAACGUUGUUCGGAAUUACUGGGCGUAAAGGGCUCGUAGGCGGCCAACUAAGUCAGACGUGAAAUCCCCAGGCUCAACCUGGGAACUGCGUCUGAUACUGGAUGGCUUGAAUCCGGGAGAGGGAUGCAGAAUUCCAGGUGUAGCGGUGAAAUGCGUAGAUAUCUGGAGGAAUACCGGUGGCGAAGGCGGCAUCCUGGACCGGCAUUGACGCUGAGGAGCGAAAGCCAGGGGAGCAAACGGG